CAGCCGCCGCGGGAAUACGUAGGUCCCGAGCGUUGUCCGGAUUUAUUGGGCGUAAAGCGAGCGCAGGCGGUUAGAUAAGUCUGAAGUUAAAGGCUGUGGCUUAACCAUAGUACGCUUUGGAAACUGUUUAACUUGAGUGCAAGGGGGGAGAGUGGAAUUCCAUGUGUAGCGGUGAAAUGCGUAGAUAUAUGGAGGAACACCGGUGGCGAAAGCGGCUCUCUGGCUUGUAACUGACGCUGAGGCUCGAAAGCGUGGGGAGCAAACAGGAUUAGAUACCCCGGUAGUCCCUGUCUCUUAUACC
rnacentral:rRNA from 1 species